AAACAACUUCUAGUAAUCAAUUUUGCCCCAGAACCUAAUCAGUAGGCUUUGGCCUCCACUGAAAAGAUCUGGUUAGGUCCAACCAUUAACAUGACUUGAUUUGAUGAAUCAGACCAAUAAAUGAUCAGGCCCGACUUUGGCCGGCCAACCUGACCACAUCAGAAAGACUCAAACCAAAUUAUCAUACUAUGAAUGAUAAUUUCAUUAGUCAAUAAGCAUCAGACCUUUGGGCCUCCAAUGAUUAUUAAACUAAUGGACUCAUUAUCACUCACUUAAUGGGAGGCUAUGACUUAGUUAUCACUAUAACUUAAUCAUUUUAGGGACCUAAUAAUUUUGAGAAUUUUAUUAAGUGAAGGAAGAGAAGAAAUUAACCAGCCAAUUUCAAUCCUCCCACUGACUUCACCAAGUCAGAUUAAAAAAGAUUUAAUUAAAGCCGGCACU
rnacentral:lncRNA from 1 species